ensembl:lncRNA
AAGGGUGGCCCGCCCUGGUCUCCCCGCGCCCCGCCGCCCGCCCCGGAGGGGUUUCCGGUGAUGCCCUCUGGUCGCGCCGGUGGCUCCAGCUGGAUUUGGGCAAGUUGGGGCCGGGCCGGAGCGGCGGCCGCCGGGGGUUGUUGGGCCCGGGUUCGUUGGGAGGCGCCUCGGGCCGGAGGGGCCUCGCGGGCCCGGGGCCCCGACGCGCCGACGCGCCGACGCGCCGACGCGCCCGACGCCCCGGGCCACCUGGCCCCGAGCAGAGCAGCCGGAUGUCCUGCGACCCGUCGCCGGGAUGCGGGCGGACAGGAGGCCUGGAGCGUCCGGGGCCGGCUUGGGAGAGCGCCUAGACUUGCGCCCCGCCCGCCCACAGUCCCCGGGGUGCCCGAGGCCUCCCGCGCCCUGGGCGGGCGGCAGGGCAGGGCAGGGCAGGGCAGGGCAGGGCAGGGCAGGGUUUGGCUGGCCGCGGCGGCGGCGGCGGCGGCGGUGGCGGGAGGCAGUGGCAGGCAGGCGGCAGGCGGCGGAGCGCGGGGCGCAGGGGACGCGGGCGUCCGGUGCGCGUCACAGGGGCUCGGGCGCGCGCGUCACAGGGGCCAGGCGACGGCGCGUCACAGGGACCAGGCGACAGCGCGCGCGCGCGCGCGCGCGCGAGGCUUCUUAGGGGCGCCGGCGGCAGCCACCAGCGUCUACGGCCAUACCACCCUGAACGCGCCCGAUCUCGUCUGAUCUCGGAAGCUAAGCAGGGUCGGGCCUGUCAUGACACCCUGCAAAAUAGCUCAAAGAGAGUUGACUGAAGAAAUGGAAACGUCAGUGAUGAAGGAUGCAAGAAACAGGACAGCAGUCCAGUAAUUCACCCUGGAGGGGUUUGCAGCUGUCCAGCAUCAUAGGAAGGUUUUCUUCCUGGUGCAUCUUCUGGAGUACCUGGCCUCCAUCAUGGGAAACAUACUCAUAAUCACCAUCACCUGGGCUGACCAUCACCUCCAGACACCUAUGUACUUCUUCCUCAGCAGUUUCUCCUUUGUUGAAUGCUGCUUAUAACCACUGUUAUUCCUAAGUUGCUGGCUAUCUUUCUGUCAUGGAGGAAAUCAAUUAAAAACAUGGAGAAAUCUAUACCAGGGCACAUACUAAUCAAAUUGCUCAAAACCAGUGAUAAAGAGAAAUCUUCAAAGCAGCCAGAAGAAAAAAAGACACAUUUCAUACAGAGGAACAAAGAUAAAUAUACCAAAGAUUUCUCUUUGAAAAUAACUAAGUGAGAACUCAAUGACACAAUUUUUAAAGGACUGUGAAUAAAAAUUUGCCAACCCAGAAUUCUGUAGUCAUGAAACUAUCUUUCAAAAAUGAAGGCAUACAAAAGAUAAAAGAAUUAAUCACCAGCAAAUCUACAGAAUGAUAGUUGGUAAAGGCAGUCCUCCAAGAGAAAGAAAAUUAUACCAGAUAUAAAUAUGGAUCUAUGCAAAGAAUGAAGAGCACCAGAAAUAGUAACCAUGGGGUAGGUAUAUAGGGUAUUUUUAAAUAAUUUAAAUUUCUUUGAAAGAUCAUUGACUCUGUCAACAAAAAUAGUAACAAUGCACUGUGGGGUUUAUAACAUAUGUAUAAGGAAAAUGUAUGAAAAGAAUAGCAUAAAGUCUGAGGGAGUAGAAAUGGAAGUAUGUUAUUACAAGUUGCUUAUAUGAUAUGUGAAGUGGUAAAAUAUCACUUGAAGGUAGACAAUGAUAAUUUAAAGAUGUAUACUAUAAAUCCAAGGCAACCACUGAAAUAAAAAUCAGAGUUGUAGCUAAGGAGCCAACAAAGGAGAUAAAAUGGAAUCAUCACAAUGGGGCAGCAGGAAACUUUUGGGCUGGUGAAUAUUUUCAUUAUAAUCAUUGUGGUGGUGAUUUUACAAAUGUUUAAAUGUGUCAAAACUUAUCAAAUUGUACUCUUGAAAUAUGUCCAUUUUAUUUUGUAUCAAUGAUACCUCAAUAAAGCUGUUUCAAAGACAAUAAAGCAGAUUGCAAUGGAAUAUUAAAAAUGCUUCAUUAAUUCAAAAAAAGAAAGGAGAAAAUAAGGAAUAUAUAAUGGUGGGGACAAAUAGAAGGAAACAUCAAAAUUGUAGAGUUAAAUCUAACUUUACAAUAAUGAGAUUAAA